rnacentral:rRNA from 1 species
CCAGACUCCUACGGGAGGCAGCAGUGGGGAAUAUUGCACAAUGGGGAAACCCUGAUGCAGCGACGCCGCGUGAAGGAAGAAGUAUUUCGGUAUGUAAACUUCUAUCAGCAGGGAAGAAAAUGACGGUACCUGACUAAGAAGCCCCGGCUAACUACGUGCCAGCAGCCGCGGUAAUACGUAGGGGGCAAGCGUUAUCCGGAUUUACUGGGUGUAAAGGGAGCGUAGACGGCAGCACAAGUCUGGAGUGAAAUGCCGGGGCUUAACCCCGGAACUGCUUUGGAAACUGUGCAGCUAGAGUGCAGGAGAGGUAAGUGGAAUUCCUAGUGCAGCGGUGAAAUGCGUAGAUAUUAGGAGGAACACCAGUGGCGAAGGCGGCUUACUGGACUGUAACUGACGUUGAGGCUCGAAAGCGUGGGGAGCAAACAGGAUUAGAUACCCUAGUAA